rnacentral:lncRNA from 1 species
GUAAUAAAUAUUCUUAGCCCCACAGACCUAAUAAGGAAACACUCCCAUCCUCUUCUUGAUAGAGGGCUGGUGACUGCAGAGGCAAAACGGUAUAUAUUGGUUUUGUUUAAAUGUUUUUCUCUUGUUACAAGGAAGUGUUCAGAGGUGUUUGGGGGAGGUGGGGAGUGAGGAUGGGAGUGUUAAGGGAAAUCAGAGUACUCUAAAAACAAUUUUUUUUGUUUUAUUGUGUUUAGUUUUUAAAGCCAGAGUUCCCGAACUGUUCACACACACACACACACACACACACACACGCCAGUCUACUGUUCAAAUAUUAUGACCCUAUAUUCAAACUGUCAUUUCUUCCUCUUUUGAAUCUGAAUAAGGUUGAUCUCUUUUCUCCCCAGUUCCCCUCUCCUACUUCCCCAGCCUCAGAGGCAAGAGAUCAAAAAUAAGGCACAAAUAUUCCUGCACCAUAAUUGUGCCCAGGGAUUAUUAGCCGUGCAAGAGUUUUAAUUCACAACUGUUGUUUUAUUUUUUUUUCCAGUCAAGGUGGAGAGACCUCUUUCUUCUCGUUGGUUUGCCCUAGGAAUUUCUAGAGCAUUUUCUUCUCAGCCUGGUCAAAGAAUAAAUGCAAUUCAAGAGUACGAGGAUGCUUGGGACCAAACUGAUCACACAUUCCGCAAGUUACUGUUGUUGGUUUGUUACGCAUUCUUUAGGAAUAAAGAAUGGAGAUGGAAGGAGGGAAGAAGUGGAUGAGGCCUUAGACUUUCUGCUGACAGCCCAGAUUUGAGACUUUCAUAACUAAAAUGAUUAUACUCCCUCAAUUGCAUCCAUGCCUAUGCUUGUAGGAUGGAUAAAUGAACACAUUGAAAAUCUUGUCUUGCUGCUGUACUAUUUGCUCGGAUAGAAGAACACAACCCACAGGAACACCCAUAGCAGUUAGUUGAAGAUGUUGAUGUCCAUUCCUUGGUUAGUGAGUUUAAUCAGAGAAGUGCUAAUCAUCAUUCCCAGAGGAAAAAGAAAAAAGCACCAGAGUCAGUCAGCAAGCAUUUAUUAAGUGCCUAACUCUGGCCAGGCACUGUGCUACGCUCUGGGGAUACAAAGAAAGGCAAAAGCAUGGUCCUUGCCCUGAAGGAGCUCACAUUCUAAAGCGGGGGCUAUAAUAUGCAUAUAACCGUGUAUAUAUAAGAUAUGGCACAAAAGGAAAGUC